AUGCAACAAAGAAUCGAGCCACGACAUUUGAAGAUCUGAUUAGCUGAUGCUUCAUCCAAGAUUUCCUUAUAGCCAUUCGCUCAGCAAAAUGAUUGCCAGCAGAAAGAAUUCCAAUGAACAUAUCAACGGGCUGAUCAAGGAGAGGCGGUGCCUUCCACCUGUUUGACAUAUCAAGAUGUCUCUGAGGUGCAAAAUUGGGAUGUGUUGCUGGCAAGGAGGCAGCAAACACCGAAUCAACAUCAAUGUCACCGUUCAAUGACAAACCAGUAGCAUCCUCAAGGGCAAAUCCAGUUCGAUAUGGAAAUGAGGUCACA
rnacentral:misc_RNA from 1 species